rnacentral:misc_RNA from 1 species
CGCUUUCUUGAGUAAUAUAACCUGUCAUUUGACAGCCAACAAAAAGAACAUCUCAAUUAGCAAACCAGUUUCAAACCAUAAGCAACGUAGGUUUCAGGACAGAGAUAAAGGAACGGUAGAUAAAACAGAAACUACUAGAUUAGCUUCAUAGCAAAAAUUGCAUUUAGAAGAGAUUGAAGUAACAAUUGGCAACUAACUGGAAAAGAUCACCUUUAACAAAAGUAAUGUUGUGUUCGCGAAUAGGGAUGAUAACGACAGUACGCGAAAGAUAGGCACCGGGAGUGAAAUGCAAGGA